rnacentral:rRNA from 1 species
CGGGCUCAAACGGCGGAGGAAUGUUUUUGAAAGGAGGCAGCCAGCAAUGGUCUCCGCCGAGGUGCUGCAUGGUUGUCGUCAGCUCGUGCCGUGAGGUGUCGGCUUAAGUGCCAUAACGAGCGCAACCCCUACCGACAGUUGCUAACGAGUUAGGUCGAGGACUCUGUCGGGACUGCCGGCGCAAGCUGAGAGGAAGGCGGGGAUGACGUCAAAUCAGCACGGCCCUUACGUCCGGGGCGACACACGUGUUACAAUGGCAGGUACAGCGGGAAGCCACCUGGCGACAGGGAGCGGAACCCGAAAGCCUGUCUCAGUUCGGAUCGGAGUCUGCAACUCGACUCCGUGAAGCUGGAUUCGCUAGUAAUCGCGCAUCAGCCACGGCGCGGUGAAUACGUUCCCGGGCC